rnacentral:rRNA from 1 species
CCUACGGGUGGCAGCAGUGAGGAAUAUUGGUCAAUGGCCGUAAGGCUGAUCCAGCCAAGUCGCGUGAAGGAAGAAGGAUCUAUGGUUUGUAAACUUCUUUUAUAGGGGAAUAAAUGUAUCCACGUGUGGAUAUUUGCAUGUACCCUAUGAAUAAGCAUCGGCUAACUCCGUGCCAUCAGCCGCGGUAAUACGGAGGAUGCGAGCGUUAACCGGAUUUAGUGGGUUUAAAGGGUGCGUAGGUUGUUUUUUAAGUCAGAGGUGAAAGUUUGUGGCUCAACCAUGAAAUUGCCGUUGAAACUGGAAGACUUGAGGGUGUUUGAGGUAGGCGGAAUGCGUGGUGUAGCGGUGAAAUGCAUAGAUAUCACGCAGAACUCCGAUUGCGAAGGCAGCUUACUAAGCCAUAACUGACACUGAGGCACGAAAGCGUGGGGAGCAAACAGGAUUAGAUACCCCUGUAGUC